CCAGACUACAUCUGAUUGGAGAAGGAGGUGGGUGCACCCUGCGGGCCGUAGCCUUGCUGCCCAUAGUCGCCCUGAGGCCCGUAGCCACUGCCACCGCUGCCGGCUGGUUGACCAUAGUCAGGCUGGUAGCCGCCCUGAGGCCCGUAGGAAUCCUGGGGCCCGUACCCGCCGGGGCCCUGCCCGUAGCCUGCAUCGCCGUAGGCGUCCCCGGGUGCCGGUUGUUUCUCGGGGGCGCCGGGAGGCGCGCGCAGGAACGGGGCGGCCCAGCCUGUCUCCUUAAACACGAACCACAGGUUGCCGACCCAGAGCACCAGGUUCAGGAAGCCGAACACCUGCAGGGAGACAAGGCUCGGCUGUGGUACCCCGCCCAUUGCCUUGGCGGCCCUGCGUGCAGGAAUGAGCAUGCGGGGAAUGAAUCCGUAGGCUCCGCAAGGUGGGGGUUUCUGAAACCCAGACUCUCUGAGUCCCAGUGCGAGAACGUCGAUGUGCAGAAAAAUCACCUCUGGCGGGGUGGGCGUGUUAGAAGAAUUUGGAGCCCUGGGGAUGCUGCGAUCUAUCAGUAUUACAUAUACAAUUAUUUACAUAUUUGCACAUAUACACAUUAUAUACACAUUUAUGCAU
rnacentral:lncRNA from 1 species